rfam:Agrilus planipennis Contig48430, whole genome shotgun sequence.
AAGGGGUUUUAGUCGGUAGGUCCGAGGACUUCUUCCUCGGAAAUCCGACACUUCCCAGUCGUACGGACGGCUGGGUGUCUUUCGAAGAUUUCCCCUCUU